CAAUCUUUCUUCAUUUUGCUAGUCUUGUUUCUCCAUUCGUUCUCAUCCACUAUUUCAGCUCAGUCUCCGGCAGCAGCCCCCACGCCAUCAGCCACCAACGUGACUGCCGUCCUCGAGAAGGCAGGCCAAUUCACCACCUUGAUCAAGCUCCUCAAAUCCACCAAGAUGGCUGACCAAAUCAACACCCAGCUCAGCACCUCAAACCAAGGCAUGACCCUCUUUGCACCAACUGACAACGCCUUCUCCAGCCUCAAGGCCGGCACGCUAAACUCCAUCUCCGAGCAGCAAAAGCUGCAGCUUGUGCAGUUCCAUGUGCUACCAUCUUUCUAUUCUG
rnacentral:lncRNA from 1 species